GUAUUGCUGAAGAGUCUCACAAUAAGACGAAACAGCCGUUCAGUGC
rnacentral:hammerhead_ribozyme from 1 species